GAUGAACGCUAGCGGCAGGCUUAACACAUGCAAGUCGAGGGGUAGAGGCUUUCGGGUCUUGAGACCGGCGCACGGGUGCGUAACGCGUAUGCAAUCUGCCUUGUACUGGGGGAUAGCCCAGAGAAAUUUGGAUUAAUACCCCAUAGUAUUUUCGGUUGGCAUCCACUGAUUAUUAAAGUUUUUCGGUACAAGAUGAGCAUGCGUCCCAUUAGCUAGUUGGUAUGGUAACGGCAUACCAAGGCUACGAUGGGUAGGGGUCCUGAGAGGGAGAUCCCCCACACUGGUACUGAGACACGGACCAGACUCCUACGGGAGGCAGCAGUGAGGAAUAUUGGUCAAUGGUCGCAAGACUGAACCAGCCAUGCCGCGUGCAGGAUGAAGCAUCUAUGGUGUGUAAACUGCUUUUGUACGGGAAGAAACACUCCUACGAGUAGGGGCUUGACGGUACCGUAAGAAUAAGGAUCGGCUAACUCCGUGCCAGCAGCCGCCGUAAAAC
rnacentral:rRNA from 1 species